GUAGGUGGCAAGCGUUGUCCGGGAAUUAUUGGGGCGUAAAGCGCGCGCAGGCGGUUCUUUAAGUCUGAUGUGAAAGCCCACGGGCUCAACCGUGGAGGGUCAUUGGAAACUGGAGAACUUGAGUACAGAAGAGGAAAGCGGAAUUCCACGUGUAGCGGUGAAAUGCGUAGAGAUGUGGAGGAACACCAGUGGCGAAGGCUGCUUUCUGGUCUGUAACUGACGCUGAGGCGCGAAAGCGUGGGGAGCAAACAGGAUUAGAUACCCUGGUAGUCCACGCCGUAAACGAUGAGUGCUAAGUGUUAGGGGGUUUCCGCCCCUUAGUGCUGCAGCUAACGCAUUAAGCACUCCGCCUGGGGAGUACGGCCGCAAAGGCUG
rnacentral:rRNA from 1 species